CGAAAGGCCCCCUCGGGGGCCGAGUAGAGUGGCGUCCGGGUGAGUAACACGUAGGUAAUCUACCUUUGGGUGGGGAAUAACGACCGGAAACGGUCGCUAAUACCGCAUAAUGCAGCGGCACCACAUGGUGACAGUUGUUAAAGCGGGGGAUCGCAAGACCUCGCGCCUAAAGAGGAGCCUGCGGCGGAUUAGCUAGUUGGUAGGGUAAUGGCCUACCAAGGCAACGAUCCGUAGCCGGCCUGAGAGGGCGGUCGGCCACACUGGCACUGACACACGGGCCAGACUCCUACGGGAGGCAGCAGUCGGGAAUUUUGGGCAAUGGGCGAAAGCCUGACCCAGCAACGCCGCGUGAAGGAUGAAGCUUUUCGGAGUGUAAACUUCAUAAGAAUGGGACGAAUAAGGAAGGGCUAAUACCCCUUUUGAUGACGGUACCAUUUGUAAGCUCCGGCUAACUCCGUGCCAGCAGCCGCGGUAAUACGGGGGGAGCAAGCGCUG
rnacentral:rRNA from 1 species